GAUGAAGAACGUAGCGAAAUGCGAUAGGUAGUGUGAAUUGCAGAAUUCAGUGAAUCAUCGAAUCUUUGAACGCACAUUGCGCCCUUUGGUAUUCCUUAGGGCAUGCCUGUUCGAGCGUCAUUUAAACCUUCAAGCUAAGCUUGGUGUUGGGUGACUGUCCGCUUCACGGCGGACUCGCCUCAAAAUUAUUGGCGGCCGGUACAUUGGCUUCGAGCGCAGCAGAAACGCGAACUCGGGCCCGUCGUAUUGGCUCCCAGAAGCUAUCUUCACAAUUUUGACCUCGGAUCAGGUAGGGAUACCCGCUGAACUUAAGCAUAUCAAUAAGCGGAGGA
rnacentral:misc_RNA from 1 species